rnacentral:rRNA from 1 species
UUGAAAAGAACUUUGGAGAGAGAGUCAAAAAGACCGCGAAACCGUUAGGAGGGAAACGAAUGCAGCCAAAGUGGCUCUCAUUCAGGCUCAGGAGUUGUCGGUGCGCAGUGCCAGGCUGUUGGACACCGAAGGGUGCGGCAGUCAGGAUACAGCAUGCCGAGCACUCUGCAUUCCUGAUGAGAGUCGGCCAACAGCAGUUACCCCUGACUCGAAAGGGCUGUCGGGAAGGUAGCUUCUUGGUUUACCAGGAAGAACUUAUAGCCAUCGGCCUGGCAGUUGGGGGUGACUGAGGAGUGCUGUGACUUUUCACACCAGCAGUGCAGGCUCCCUAGGGGCCGGGUCGCUUCUGUCCGUGUGGGCAAUGCUUCCGGGACUGCAUGCAGUGUCGGAAGACAUGUGUGUGCUCGGGUGGGAGGUUGGCCACGCCUUGCACUGAAGUUGUUGGUACCUGGAUGGUUUCAUUCGACCCGUCUUGAAAACACGGA